rnacentral:rRNA from 1 species
GACGAACGCUGGCGGUGUGCUUAACACAUGCAAGUCGAACGGUAAGGCCCUUUCGGGGGUACACGAGUGGCGAACGGGUGAGUAACACGUGAGUAACCUGCCCUCAUCUCUGGGAUAACAGUCGGAAACGGUUGCUAAUACUGGAUAUGAUCUUGCAAGGCAUCUUGUGGGUUGGAAAGAUUUUUUUUGGUUGGGGAUGGACUCGCGGCCUAUCAGCUUGUUGGUGAGGUAGUGGCUCACCAAGGCUUCGACGGGUAGCCGGCCUGAGAGGGCGACCGGCCACAUUGGGACUGAGAUACGGCCCAAACUCCUACGGGAGGCAGCAGUGGGGAAUAUUGCACAAUGGACGGAAGUCUGAUGCAGCAACGCCGCGUGCGGGAUGACGGCCUUCGGGUUGUAAACCGCUUUCAAUUGUGACGAAGCUUUUUUGUGACGGUAGCAGUAGAAGAAGCACCGGCUAACUACGUG